rnacentral:lncRNA from 1 species
UUAGCCACCUUUGAUUGAUCUACUUAUUAGCAUCACGGCCGCCCCCUCCGCCAUGGGGCCGCCGUGUUCUGGCGGCAGUCGUACGUGGUGGUGCUGGCUGUCGACACUUCAUGGGUUGGCUAAACUUUAUUGAUCAAAGAAUUUCGAUUUCGUCGUCUCCUCCCACGGGGCAACUUCAAUAAUCCUUUGGCAUUAUUUUCAUCAUUCAUAAUUCAUAAUUAUUGUUAAGCAAGAAUUGUUUUCGUUGGAUCAAUUUUCUUAUAAUAGUAUAUAUGAUCUAUUAAUAUUGUUUGUUAUUCAUUUGGGGUUUUCUCUAUUGUGUUGUUAUUUCAGUGCGCAUGAAAAAACAAAUUCAGUGUG